rnacentral:rRNA from 1 species
CAGUCGCCACGGUAAUACGAAGGGUGCAAGCGUUAAUCGGAAUUACUGGGCGUAAAGCGUGCGUAGGCGGUGAGUUAAGUCUGCUGUGAAAUCCCCGGGCUCAACCUGGGAAUGGCAGUGGAUACUGGCUCGCUAGAGUGUGUCAGAGGAUGGUGGAAUUCCCGGUGUAGCGGUGAAAUGCGUAGAGAUCGGGAGGAACAUCAGUGGCGAAGGCGGCCAUCUGGGACAACACUGACGCUGAGGCACGAAAGCGCGGGGAGCAAACAGGAUUAGAUACCCCGGUAGUCCCUGUCUCUUAUAC